AACACAUGCAAGUCGAGGGGCAACGGAAGUAGCUUGCUACUAGACGACGACCGGCGCACGGGUGAGUAACGCGUAUGUAAUCUGCCUUGUACAGAGGGAUAGCCCAGAGAAAUUUGGAUUAAUACCUCAUAGUAUUACCGAAUCGCAUGAUUUGGUAAUUAAAGCUCCGGCGGUACAAGAUGAACAUGCGUGACAUUAGCUAGUUGGUAAGGUAACGGCUUACCAAGGCUACGAUGUCUAGGGGUUCUGAGAGGAUGAUCCCCCACACUGGUACUGAGACACGGACCAGACUCCUACGGGAGGCAGCAGUGAGGAAUAUUGGUCAAUGGACGCAAGUCUGAACCAGCCAUCCCGCGUGAAGGAUGACUGCCCUAUGGGUUGUAAACUUCUUUUAUAUGCAAAUAAACCUACUUUCGUGAAAGUAGCUGAAG
rnacentral:rRNA from 1 species